CGGAGGAUGCGAGCGUUAUCCGGAUUUAUUGGGUUUAAAGGGAGCGCAGACGGGUUUUUAAGUCAGCUGUGAAAGUUUGGGGCUCAACCUUAAAUUGCAGUUGAUACUGGAGACCUUGAGUGCAGUUGAGGCAGGCGGAAUUCGUGGUGUAGCGGUGAAAUGCUUAGAUAUCACGAAGAACUCCGAUUGCGAAGGCAGCUUGCUAAAGUGUAACUGACGUUCAUGCUCGAAAGUGUGGGUAUCAAACAGGAUU
rnacentral:rRNA from 1 species